AUUGAACGCUGGCGGCAGGCCUAACACAUGCAAGUCGAGCGAGCGGCGGCCGGGUGAGUAAUGUAUGGGGACUGCCCGAUAGAGGGGGAUAACUACUGGAAACGGUAGCUAAUACCGCAUACUAUCGGAUAACCCAUAUGGGAUGAGCUAGUAGGUGAGGUAAUGGCUCACCUAGGCGACGAUCCCUAGCUGGGCUGAGAGGCUGAUCAGCCACAUUGGGACUGAGACACGGCCCAAACUCCUACGGAGGCAGCAGUGGGGAAUCUUGCACAAUGGGCGCAAGCCUGAUGCAGCCACGCCGCGUGUGUGAAGAAGGUCAUAGGGUUGUAAAGUACUUUUGGCAGAGAAGCGGUAUCUGCCGAAUAAGCACCGGCUAACUACGUGCCAGCAGCCGCGGUAAUAC
rnacentral:rRNA from 1 species